rnacentral:tRNA from 1 species
AGGGGUAUAGCUCAAGGGUAGAGCACAUGCUUAGUGUGCACAAGGUCCUGGGUUUGAUCCCCAGUACCUCUA